GGCAAUCAAGUUUAUGAAAUAGGCGGAUAAGUGAGAAAGUCUUUGUCAUCUUCAUCCGAUUAAUAGCAUCUUCCAACUUCACUUCUGCCUAUUAAUUACCCCUUCUCGUCAAUAGAAUCAUCAUCCACAAAUCACAUUGAACUCCAAGAAAUUGAGUGAUUAAUCAGAGGAAUAGUUUGAGAGAGAAAUCAAGAAUAUUAGAGAUGAGAUAUGGUUCAACCGACGACGGAGAGAACGAUGGUGAAUUGACAAUCAUUCCGGCAGAGUUUCAACGAUCGGGAUAUAUCAUUGGAAAGCCCUCGACGUAAGCUUCGAUUUGGUGGUGGUUUCCGGCUGUUGCCUCAGGUGGUGGUCGCCGGAGUUCAACGAGAAAUCCAGCCUUCCGCUGAAGUUUCAAGAGUCGAUUUGAGUUAUGUCGGCAAAAUUCAGAGAAAUGAAGAACUGCUGCCGCACCUGUUUUCGGAGCAGAAUUUGGAGUGUUUGGAGUGCGAAUUUGGGAAUCAUUCCUUGACGAAACUCGUAGAGGACUUCGAAAAAUAUUGGUGUCGAGCGUACUAAAGCUCUCAUUCAAGACUUGAGCAUGACUCGAGAGUAAGGUGUUCUUAUAGCACUUGCAUUGGACUUCAGUAACAGGUGCAUUAGUGGACGAUAUUGUUGAUGGCUCUUAGGAGUAGAAGUUAUUCAGAGAUUUUAGAGAGUUUAAUCUAGUGUUGUGUUUAAGAAUGAUUGUAAUUCGAGAACUAUGAAUACGAGAUUAGUUUUGGCAUUUGGUUGUCACGUGUAUUUGAUAUUAUUGUUCUUAAAUUAAGUAAGAGACAUUGUAUU